rnacentral:rRNA from 1 species
GCUCAGUAGCGGCGAGUGAGCGGCAAAAGCUCCAUUUUGAAAGCUCUUCGGAGCGUUGUAGAUUGGUGGGAAGCUAACGGCUGGUGGGAGACCAAGUCCUCUGGAACGAGGCGCCAUAGAGGGUGAGAGCCCCGUGUGUCUCCUUUACCGACCUUUCAGCCCCCUCCGCGGAGUCGAGUUGUUUGGGAAUGCAGCUCUAAGUGGGUGGUAAAUUCCAUCUAAGGCUAAAUAUUGGCGAGAGACCGAUAGCGAACAAGUACAGUGAUGGAAAGAUGAAAAGCACUUUGAAAAGAGAGUGAAACAGUACGUGAAAUUGUUGAAAGGGAAGGGUAUUUGGCCCGACAUGGGUCCUAUGCACCGUUGCCUCUCGUGGGCGGCGCUCUGCUUGGGCCUGGGCCAGCGUCAGUUUGGAGGGGGCGAGAAGGGUUUUGGGGAGUUGCCUAGCAAUUCCCCUUUGCUAGAUUGCCCCACACCGGACUGAGGACCGCCAUCUGUAGGAUGCUGGCACAACGGCCAAAUACCGCCCGUCU